GGGACUCAAUCCUGGGACCCCCAGAUCACGCCCUGAGGCAGAGCCACGCAGGCAUCCCAGACUGGCACAUUUCUUAAUUAAAAAUGCCAAAACACACCGGAGGAAAGAGGCCAAAAGUUGCCAGCUUUUCAUUUUUCCAAGUCUUCUCUCUUCUCCUUUCUCACCUCUUAUAUACAGACACGCAGAGACACAUUUCAAAGCUCCAAAGAGAAGUGUGCCAAGUAUCCGAAAUGGCUCUCAGAUGAGUAAGGAAGGCAAUCUCUAUCCCAAAUACCGAAUCCCUAACUCUGCAAAGGGAGAAAGAGUGAGCGCAGGGAAUGGAGACUCUUCCCCACCUCCCCACUGACCUCCUUUAUUAUACUCUCAGUAUUUGCUUAUGAUUCCUAUUAAUCACAUGUAAUAACCCUCCCAAUUAUUAAAUUACAGAGACAUGCAUUCCCUCAGCCAAACAGAAUAAUUAUUUACUAAAAUGAAUUAACAUAUAGAAAAGCCUCAGUUCUAUGGAGGUUGAAACUUAGCAUAAUGAAUUUAUCAGGCUUAAAAGAAGCCCAGACAGGCUUUUUUUCGGUGAAAUAAAUACACUGAUUACAGCGAAGCUCA
rnacentral:lncRNA from 1 species